AUGGACGAAAUGCCAGAUUUGUCGCAUCUGACGCCGCACGAGCGCAUGCAAAUUGAAAAUGUGCUCAUGCGGCAGAAGCAGGAGGAGGAGAAGCAAAAUGAGAUAAUGCGACGCAAACAGGACGAGGUCGUUACGCUGGAGAUGCAAAUCAGGCAGCGAUCCGAGCAGCAGAAGAAGGCCGGCGUCGAGCUGGAUGCCACCUGUCACAUAUGCCUUAAGACCAAGUUUGCCGAUGGCGUUGGCCACAUUUGCCAUUAUUGCAACAUACGCUGCUGCGCCCGCUGCGGUGGCAAAGUAACCCUGCGCAGCAACAAGGUGAUCUGGGUGUGUAUCCUGUGCCGCAAGAAACAGGAGCUAUUGUCCAAAACAGGCCAAUGGAUAAACAAGUCGGCGGUGCAGCAAGAUGGUUUCAUACGGCGCAUCGAACCCGAUGGCAGCAGCGACAUCUCACAGCAGGCCAUUGUCGACCCACGCGACUCUGCGGACAAGCGGCCCAAGUUGGAGCGCACGCGCAGCGCUGCCGAGAAGGAGAACCUACCCAUCCAGCGGGCUGGCAGCAUGCUGCGUCGCCAAUAUUCGCAGCAGGAGCAGCCAACGAAUCGUCGCCUCUCCGUCUCCGACAGCGGAUUGGAGCCCCUGAGUCCUGGCCAACAGCAGAUGCAGCAACAGCAGCUGCCGCAGCGCCAGCGCAUGCAGCCCAUGAAUCCGCAGCAGGCGCAGCAGUAUCAACUCCAGCAGCAACAGCUGCAGCAGCAGCAGCAGCAACAAAUGGGCUACGGACAGCAGCAACAUCCGCAAAGAUCGGGUGCCUAUCCAGAGGAUGAUCCUCGUUACUAUCAGGGCGAGCUGGACGGUCUGAUGCGACAACAUCCACACCUGGCACAUCCCAGCCAGGUGCAACAGCAGCCACAGCAGCCACAGCAGCAACAGCAGCAGCAACAGCAACAGCCACAACAACAUUUAAUGGCGCAGCAGCAGCGAUUUAAUGCACGCCAGCAACAUAUGCAACAGCAGCAGCAACAACAUCAUCAGCAGCAACAGCAACAACAGCAACAACAGCAGCCACAGCAGCAGCAGCAACAGCAGCGAAUGUUGCAACAGCAACAACCGUAUCAAGGAUCCUCGACACACGCGCAGAUUCACUCGCAGCCAGUGCAACUGGGUGGGGGCCGCGGCUACCAAAAGCCGCCGCCGCUGACGCGCAACCUGACGAUCAGUGGGGGCCACGCCAUGGAUGCCACCACCUACAAUCAGCAGCAGCAGCAGCAACAGCAGCGGCGCUCCUUGGCUGGCGCACAGUAUGCCUCACAGCAGCAGCGAUCCUUCAGCAGCUCCGAGGAGGAGUUCCAAAGUCAUCUAAUGGCCGCGCAGGCGCAGGCGCAGGUGCAAGGACAUACCGUUACAGCUGGCAGCGACUACGAUGGCGGGCGUCUCCAGGUGCGCACGGAUCCUUGGCGACAGCAGCGCAGCCUCAACGAGCGCGAUCUACUGACAGUAGGCUCGAGUGACUAUCGGCUGCUGGGCCACACGAAUCAGCGGCUGUACGCCUCGGCGGACCAAAGGGAUCGGUAUGAGCUGCAGCUGCAGCAUCGCGAGCGCCUGGAACAGUAUCCGCUGACGAGGACCGCUCGACUGGACGUGCAGCAGCGCAACUCACUCAACCGCAGCAAUCACGAGCGAGCGGCUGGAGCUGGUGGGGCUGGUGGUGCAGGUGGUGCAGGUGGUUCAGGUGGUGCAGGUGGUGCAGUUGCUGCAGUUGGUGUAGGUGGAGCAACUGGUCCUGCCUUUCGUCGGGCACCGCCCUUGGCCGCGGCCAGCGGCUGCGGUGGUGGCAGCAGCAGCAGCAGCACCAGCAGCAGCUACUAUCCACAGAGCUACAGCAAGCCGCAGAUUGUCAUUGGAUCAGGCUCUGCCUAUGAGCGUGGCGCGAUGUCGGCAGCUGCUGACGGCGUGCGAGGCAGCCUGAACCGAGAACGCGGCCUGCUUGGCGCUGGCGGUGGUGGCGGCGGUGGCGGUAGCAGCUCCCUCAGCUCCACAGAGGCCGCCUACUGGGAUGAGCCAGCCACCAGUGGUGGUGGCGGUGGCAGUACAUCAUCGUCGUCGGCGGCGCAGGACUCGCGCCGCUUCACUGAGCGCAGAAUAAAGAAAACGGUGCGUUUCGAUGCGCACGACGACGAGUCGUCGCUCCUGGCGGUUCCAAACACAGGCAGUGGCUCCCUGCCACCAGUCACCGCCAUACUGCCCUCGACGGCUGUGGAUGUGGGCACGGCGACUCUGCUCACCAGCACGAAGCUGGCGCAGCCGCUGGACGGCGACUGGUCGCGCUGGGAGGCCGAGCGGCAGGGCAGCCAGGACUCGGCCACUAAAGACUCGGGCAUUGAUACGAGCAGCACCUUCACCAGCAGCGAGGACUCGAACCGCGGCGACGGCCCUAAGAAUCCGGUGAAUUGGCAAACAUCCUCGGAUAAUACUCGCAUGAUUGGUCACAUGAUAUUACGUAAAUACUAUGAUGGGGAAGAUAUAUUAGGCUUAAAGGUAAACGGCGGCCAGACCGUGGGUCUCGGAGGCCCAUGCAGAGCCAUUGUGGAGAAGGUGAAACGCGGUUCAGUGGCUGACGUCGAAGGCUGCAUACGACCAGGCGACGAGAUCAUCGAAUGGAACGGACGCAGCCUGCACAGCAAGAGUGCCGACGAGGUCUACGACAUCAUCGACGAGAGUCGUCUGGAUGCACAGGUGGAAUUGAUCGUGGGUCGAUCGCUGCUGCUGCCAGCCAGUGGCGCCGGCAGCGUCGACAGCGGCGGCAGCAGCAACGUCAGCCCCAGCAGCGCGUGCUCGGGCUCGGGCAGCAGCGUCACCCGGCGCUCCUCGGCUAACUUUCCGCACAGUGGGCUGGCGAGCAGCAUAGCAGCCAGCGCAGUGGUCAGCAGCGGAGGUCGUUACCUGCAGCGUAAAGCACCCGGCGUCGAGGCUCUAGAGCUGCACCGCGAUAAGCCGAGCGUGCUGAUCACCUCGCCCGGCUCUCCGGAUCUCCACACCGGCGGCUCGAACAACGGACGGCGUCAUCGUGGCGCUGGCAUUGGCAGUUGCUCGCAGCAGACGCAGCGCUUGGAGGCCAGCAGCCAUAACCACAGCAAUAGCUACAGCUACAGCAGCCACAGCCACAGCCACAGCAGCAGCGGCAGCAACAGCAACAGCGGCAGCAGCAGCAACAGCAGCGCCACCGUCGCCGCCUCGAGCGGCGUGCACUGCGCAACGACGGCGGGCCACCAUCAUCAUUGCCACACGACAGCGGCAUCACCGCCAUCGCACGCGCUUCCGCAUCCGCACCCGCACUCGCACUCGCACGCUCACGCCCACUCACAUCAUGGGCAUGGCAUGGGCGUGACAACACAGCCGAUUCCCAUCGAGGGCCGGUUGCAGCUGAAACUAGGCUACGAUCAGACCACUCUGCAGCUGAUUGUGACGCUGGUUUGCGCCACGGGCCUGUCGUUGCGUCAGAGCGGCGCCGGGCGCAAUCCCUAUGCGAAAGUGUUCCUCCUGCCCGACCGCAGCCAGAAGUCGAAGCGACGCACGAAAACCGUUGGCACCACCUGCGAACCGAGGUGGGGUCAAACGUUUUUCUACUCCGGUCUGCGGCGGAGCGACCUCAAUGGUCGCCAGCUUGAGGUCACGUUGUGGGAUUAUGUGCGCUAUGGGGCCAACGACUUUAUCGGCGAAGUGGUCAUCGACUUGGCCCAUCACGUACUGGACGACGAGGCCGAGUGGUACCAGCUGCAACCGCAUCAGGAUAGCUCCCAUCUCUUACGUGACGAGGGCAGCGAUGUGGAGUGCCUGAUUCUGACACCAACAGAUCAUUUAUCACCGCCCAGUACGAUGUCCCGUCUGAGCGACUCGGACACUACAUCCGAGUGCGACAUCGAUGGAACGACGCCCGGUGCCAGCAUCUCAUCGAUGGGCAGCUCUGCCAGUCCGCCGCUGUUCGAGCUCGAUCUAAAUGAGCGUCGAUCCAGACGUGACAUGUCGCCCCAGGGCCGCAAACGGGUGGCCGGAAUGAUGGCCAGAGAUUAUCGCACAGUAUCUGGCAUUGGACAAAGUUAUCACAAUCAGAGUUCUGCAACGGGCUACUACCGACGAGGCGGUGCCAAUGGUGUCGGUUCCGCCAUCGGACCUGGUGGCAUUAGCCUGAGCCAGCGUAGCCACUCGGCAGCUCCCGGUGACAACUAUCACGGCCAUCAAGGACAUCCAGGCUCAGGCUACGGCUACAGGAGCAGCAGUCCGCGGCGAGGAUCGCUAUCGCCGCCCGACGAUCGUUACAUUGACUAUCCAGUGCUUCCAAUUCACGGUUCACCCAACGCCGCGGCCUACGCCGGCGGAAGCAACAGUGCUUCGACGGCGGCACAGACGCCACAGCAGCAGCGUUUCCAGUCUCGUUCUGCCACUGCCACGCCUACGGGAUCGCCCAAGAAACGACAACUGCCACAGGUGCCACAAACCUCUCGCAGCGCCAUGUUGCGCGAUCGAUUGGGUCAGGACUUUGACGAGCGGCUGGCAUCGGGCAGCCGCUUUGGCCGGCAUCGCACACGGCAGCCGCACCAUCAGGCGACGUAUCGCAGCACCGGCAUGGGUGGCUGGGAACGACAUUAUACGGGACUUUCAGAUAGUGAUCUGCAGUCGAUGGACACGCGGAUGCGACCAAGGCAUUCGCUGUCGCCGGACAAGGACUUUAUGGGCGAGUUUGGUGACUCAGACAUGGAGUCGGUGGUCAGUGUGACCUCGAGUGCGUUCUCUACGCAGUCGGAGCGACCGCGCACCUCACGUGGCCUCAGCUUUCCACGCAACUGGCGCAAUCUGUUCGGCGCCCAAAAUAGCAUACUGGGCGGUGCCGUUGGCGGCCCGGUGACCGGCCUUAAGGUCUAUCCCGUCGAGCACCACCGUGCGAACACCAUCGAGGUGGACGACUGCGACUAUCUCUCCAGUGGUGGCGGGACCCAUCAGCUUCUGCUGCUGGAGCAGCUCGAGCAGCUACAGCACCUGGCUGCAAUGGCUGCCGCCGAUUCGCCGCCCAACACAGCCGCAUUGGGUGGGUUCAGCGGUGCCACAUCUGCAGCUCCGCCACCACCCACAACUAUACCACUGCCAAUGACCGCACCACAGCAGGUACUCGUGACGGACACAAACAGCGGCGAGCUGAUCGAGCAGUUCUUCGUGGAGCCGGCCCUGAUGGCGGAGGAGACGCCGCUUAACCUCGAGCCACUCGAGCCCCAUUUGCAUACGCAUAGCGUUUACUAUUCACCUCAUUUGCCCAACACAUUCAUACAGCCGUCGCUUGACUUGUACCAACGACGCCACAACGGACGCCAGCUCGACCACGCCCCCACCAUCGCCACCGCCACCGCCACCUCCAACGCAACCACUCAUGCGAAUCACACCUAUGCGCUGCCCAGCUUUGAGCAAUUCAAGCGGUAUACCACGCCCGUCAUGAAUCUCUUUCGCAGCUCCAUAACAGCACCAGCGUCUGCUCACGACCACGCCCACACGGUCUCCUCCUCGCCCAGCUCGUACGUGGGCUACGUACGCGAUCACCUGGACAAAAGCUGCAGUCACUGCCAGAACGGUAGCCAGCCGGUAGUGCUAUCCACAAACACAGCUCUGGCGACGCCCGGCUUGGCUAUCGGCGCCUGCACCGAUCCCUGUUGCCUGGCCGAUGCGCAUCCCCAUCCGCAGCAUAAGCCCAUUGCAUAUCCCUAUAGCGCGGAGCAGCUGCUGCGUCGCCCCUCCCUCUCUAUGUAUCAGCCGGCUAGCACCUCAGAGCCCUCGCUGCCCACCAUGGACCCGGAUCCCAUGUGCGGCGAAUGCGUUGAUCAGCAUUUUGUGGGCGGCCUGAUCGGGCCGCAGCUCAAUCUGGGCGUGGUACCCACCUACCAUGUGCACACGCCAACGCCGACAGCUCAUCGGCGAGCGAACACGCAGCUCGCGCCGCCUCCACCACUGCCCACGCAAUCCGUGCUGCGGCUAUCGCGACAGCUAAGCGAGGAUGCCCUCGUUUCUGCGGUGCCCAUAGCAGAGGCUACAGCACGGACUCAACCCACAUCGAUUCUGAAGAAGCCCAAGCUGGACCGACGGCGCAUGUUUCAUGAGGGCCAGUCGCGUUCCCUGGACUACGAUGAUUUGCAUACAAAGAGCUGGGGCAGGCGGCGCAUACGUUACGAGGACGAGGUGGCCCCACAUGAGCUGAUGCCGCAUGCCUAUCACCCCUGUGAGGAGCAGUUGCCUAGCAGUCGCCGAUACGGCUCAGAGACGAACAUACGUCAGUCGUAUAUGGGCGCCAAUGUGGAUGCCGCCAAUCCGCUGAGUCAUUCGCAUUUCUUGGUCACCGAUGACAAGAUCGUGACCAUCACCUACGACUCGGAUGUGGGAUGGACCCGACGCGGCGUAGCACCCUCCCUCUUCCGUGGUCCACACCGUCGUGGCGUCGAUGCUCGCAAUCACAUGUCUCUCGAUCUGCAGCGCACCAGCCAGCAAAAGCUCUACGGACCCGCUGCGCCCUACAUGAAGCGGCGUCGCAAUCUUCCGCAUCCGCCUAGCGCGCAAAACGCGCACAACUUCUCGCCCAUGGAGGCGAUCGGUGGUGGUGUUGGUGGGGGCGGUGCACAGAACAGUGGUACAUACAACAGUAACAAUCACAACAGUAGCCACUACACCAAUCACAAUAGCCACGCAGCGAGUAGUGUUAGUAGUGUUAGUCAAUUUCACAACAACCAGCAACAACAACAACAACCACAAUCAAUUAGGCAAAAAGGGAAAGAAGGCAUCAUCGCUGUAAACGGAUUGUUGGCAUCGGCAUCGGAACAAUUGACGAAAUCUAGUGGUGGGAGCGGUGGUGCAACAUCUGCCGCAGCUACCGCUGCCGCUACUGGUAUUAUCGUCUGCGAUGGUAAUAAUGCUAAUAAUGCUUCUUCUUCCUCUUUUGCAAAUCCCCCACAACAACAACAACAACAUCAUGGUGUCGCUAAUCAACCAAUAACAACAACAAACGCAUCACCCAAUAAACAUGCCCCAUCAUCAAUACACAAUACCACCACAAUAACAACAACAACAAACGACGCCAACAACUUGACCCAUGACGCAACAUCAAUCAAUCUUACACAACAACAACAACCACAACCACCAAAUACAUGCACAAAUCUCAUUACAAAUGCAACAACAAACACAUCGUCGAAUGAUGCGGCAACAACAACAAUAACAACGACGACAACGAUAAUAACCGCAACGACUGCUACAACAACUGCCACAAAUACAACUACAACAACAACCACAACAACAACAAAUACAAAUAACACGAAUGAACCAAACGCAACAACAACAAAUGCUAAUACGAAUGUUAAUGCGGAUGCGGAUGCGGAUGCACCUAUCGAUAUCAUCGAUUGGGAUGCAAUCGAUGCGAUGCUCGACGACGAUUUCAGUGAGUACGACAAGGAGAAGAACGGUGUCAACGAGCCAAGUGGUGCAAAAUCAGCCGACGGCGGCGGCGGAACUGAGGAGAAAGCCGAUGGCAGUCUGUCAGAUACCACAACGGAUCGCAAAAAGUGCGGCAACGUGGAUCAGGAACGAUCACCAAAAGGCGUCAGCGGGAUGGGUAAAAAAUCCAACUCGACGUCGCAACUGUCGGCAACAGGUCGUAAAAGACGUAUGGGCUUUGGAAAGAAGGGUAAGAACUCGUUCACGGUGCAUCGCAGUGAAGAGGUGCUGCCUGGUGAUAUCACGCGAGAGUUGCGCUCCUGCGGAGGUGCCAGCGGUGGUGCUGGCGGUGCCGGUGGCGGUGGCCUAUCCCGUGGUUCGUCCUCGGAGGCGGACCCCAUUGAGCAGUUUUUCGGCGAUGGCGCUGGUGGGGAAAGAUUUUCGCCAUCAUUACGCAAUGAUGGAGCCCUGAAUGAGUUUGUGGAUGGCCUUGGACCGGGUCAAUUGGUUGGUCGUCAGGUGCUCGGCGCCCCCUCACUAGGUGACAUUCAGCUGUCGCUGUGCCAUCAGAAGGGCUUUCUUGAGGUUGAGGUGAUACGAGCCAGAGGCUUGCAGCAAAAGCCGUCGUCGAAGAUGUUGCCCGCGCCCUACGUGAAAGUUUAUCUGGUGUCGGGCAAGCGUUGCAUUGACAAGAUGAAAACCUCUACGGCUCGGCGCACGCUGGAUCCGCUCUAUCAGCAGCAAUUGGUAUUCAAGCAGUCGUACAGCGGUUGCGUAUUGCAGGUGACCGUUUGGGGCGACUACGGCCGGAUUGAAAAGAAAGUGUUUAUGGGUGUGGCACAAAUAAUGCUCGACGAUCUGAAUCUAUCGAAUAUCGUUAUCGGCUGGUAUAAGCUCUUCGGCACCACCUCACUGGGUCGUCCGAUUGUUUGGGCCGGUGAAUCAAUAAUGGAGGAGCAGGGUGAAUAACACUUUCCAGCUACAGUGAAAACACUUUAAAGCACCAAGCACAAACAAAUUCCAAACUUGCAAACUGACCUGAAUUUAACCCUUGCAAAGAGCUGCCAGCCAGGCAGCCAAAUAGCAAAGGACCAAGGUCAGCCAGCAGGACCUGCUACGCUUUGUUGGGAGAGGUAAAGGAAGUAGAACACCCCGGAUGAGCAUCUGGAGCUGUCGCCCGAUACUCCCAUUCGGCAUGUUGCUGGCCUAAUCUAUGUCCAAUUUGUAUGAAAUUUUUGAUUUGUAUAAUUGAUUUCUUACUCUUAUUCUCGAUCGGAAGAUAUCCUUAGGACAGUAAAGAUCUAGGUAAUUUUGUAAGUCAUGAAAACAAAUGCAUUUAAACCCAUACCCGCUAAUACAAGCAGUGCAGUAAAAGAUUAAACUGCACCAUAAAAUUCAAGAUAUAUAAUAUUUAAAUAUAAUGCGAUCUAACAUAAAAGAGAGAAGAAUA